rnacentral:rRNA from 1 species
AGCCCUAAGUGGGUGGUAAACUCCAUCUAAGGCUAAAUAUGACCACGAGACCGAUAGCGAACAAGUACCGUGAGGGAAAGUUGAAAAGCACUUUGAAGAGAGAGUUCAAGAGUACGUGAAACCGUUUAGGGGUAAACCUGAGAAACCCGAAAGGUCGAAGGGAGAAAUUCAUUCGCGUUUCGCCGUUGGCGUGAAGCGGUCGUGUGACGGAAGACACUCGCGUUUUCCGCGCCUUCUGUUUUUCGAUCCGACAGCGAACGCGUGCACUUUUCUCCUGGUAGGACGUCGCGAUCCGUUGGGUGUCGGUCUACGGCUCGCGGUGGAGCCCGGACGUACGGCUUGCCGUCACGUUCGGACCCGCGUGUCCCGGCUGACUCGCUCGACGGUAUACGAAAGGUUUAAGGCCGCUCUUAGAGCGUUCGGCUCGCUGCAAGCGCGUCAGAUGUGUCGGCGAUCGGACCUAGUGCCGGUUCUGACCUCUGGCGACUGUUGGCCGCGAAGUUCUCGAACAGACCUUUGACCGAUCUGCGACGCUAUAGCUUUGGGUACUUUCAG